GACACGGUGGUCCAGUGGGUAGCACUGUUACCUCACAACAAGAAGGUCCUGGGUUUGAAUCCGGCCUGGGCCU
rnacentral:tRNA from 1 species